GACGAACGCUGGCGGCGUGCUUAACACAUGCAAGUCGAACGGAAAGGCCCUGCUUUUGUGGGGUGCUCGAGUGGCGAACGGGUGAGUAACACGUGAGUAACCUGCCCUUGACUUUGGGAUAACUUCAGGAAACUGGGGCUAAUACCGGAUAGGAGCUCCUGCUGCAUGGUGGGGGUUGGAAAGUUUCGGCGGUUGGGGAUGGACUCGCGGCUUAUCAGCUUGUUGGUGGGGGAGUGGCUUACCAAGGCUUUGACGGGUAGCCGGCGUGAGAGGGUGACCGGCCACAUUGGGACUGAGAUACGGCCCAGACUCCUACGGGAGGCAGCAGUGGGGAAUAUUACACAAUGGGGGGAAGCCUGAUGCGGCAACGCCGCGUGCGGGAUGACGGCCUUCGGGUUGUAAACCGCUUUCACCUGUGACGAAGCGUGAGUGACGGUAAUGGGUAAAGAAGCACCGGCUAACUACGUG
rnacentral:rRNA from 1 species